GUGCAGCUCCGAUCCCGAGAUCACAAGGGGCCACACAGACGGCAGCGGCGGUGGUGGCCGCGGGAGUCCUCUGAGUAGCGGGAUGCUGAGCCUGCUGGUGUUGGCGCUGCCCGUCCUGGGGAGCCUGGUCCAUGCGGCCCCUGCCCCAGGAGAGGCCCUGGAGCGAGCAGGGAUCGUGGGG